UCCCAUGUGGCUCAGUUGGUAGAGCAUGGUGUUUGCAACGCCAGGGUUGUGGGUUUCGAUUCCCACGGGGGAC
rfam:Salmo salar isolate Sally breed double haploid chromosome ssa13, whole genome shotgun sequence.